UACGUAGGGUCCGAGCGUUGUCCGGAAUUAUUGGGCGUAAAGGGCUCGUAGGCGGUUUGUCGCGUCGGGAGUGAAAACACGGGGCUUAACCCCGUGCCUGCUUCCGAUACGGGCAGACUAGAGGUAUGCAGGGGAGAACGGAAUUCCUGGUGUAGCGGUGAAAUGCGCAGAUAUCAGGAGGAACACCGGUGGCGAAGGCGGUUCUCUGGGCAUUACCUGACGUGAGGAGCGAAAGUGUGGGGAGCGAACAGG
rnacentral:rRNA from 1 species